CACGGGGGGAGCAAGCGUUGUUCGGAAUCACUGGGCGUAAAGGGCGUGUAGGCGGUUGUGUAAGUGGGAUGUGAAAUGCCUCGGCUUACCCGAGGACCUGCAUCCCAUACUGCAUGACUUGAGUACGGGAGAGGAUGAGGGAAUUCCUGGUGUAGCGGUGAAAUGCGUAGAUAUCAGGAGGAACACCGGUGGCGAAGGCGCUCAUCUGGCCCGAUACUGACGCUGAGGCGCGAAAGCUAGGGUAGCGAACGGG
rnacentral:rRNA from 1 species